CUGAGUUUGCCCAGGCGAGGUCGAGCCCCUUCUCAGCUGAACCAAGUUAACCAUUGACUGGGGCAAGGUGGAGGGGUGGAGGGGGCUGGAGGGAGCAAGUCGGCGUCUGCCUUGUAAGACAAAACCCAGAGCCCCAGCCCUCAGCUUUCUGGGGGGCCCUGUGGGACUUCUCCACCCUGGAUAAGUCUGGGAGACCCUAGACAGGAACAGGAGGAGGUUCAGACAGCCAGAAGUACCCUCCAGGCUGGGGGUAGGCGCUGGUGGGCUCCAGCUCCACAAGAGUUAACAGAGAACAGCUCUGGAGAGAAACUCUCCCCCCAGGAGUUCCAGGCUGGAGGCCUGGAGUGACUCCAAGAAGCCAACGGGAUGAGCCCCGAAUUCUGCCUGCUCACCCAGGAAGGUGGGAGCCCGCAUGCCAGGCUCUCCCUCGCAGCUGGACUUGUCAGCCACGGAGGCAGAACGGGGCCCUGGCUGCACCUUGGUUUCCUGCCGCCCACCCUCGGCCUGUACCUGUGAUCCUGGCUGCCGCAGCUGGAGGUCCCUUGCUCUCGUGGAAAGAGGACACUGAUGUCCCAGGAAGAUGCCCACAACUUUCCAAAUCUGACACUUUCUCUGAAAACUUGGUCUAUUUGAGCGUGGAUGUCCAGUCCAGACGACACCAGAAGAGGCUAAGAAGUCAUCCCAGCUCGGGUGUUGGGAAGAGACUGGAAGGAUGGAGGGAUGGGCACUGGCCUGGGGGACUCUAACCAGGGCCGGAGCCAUUUCCAUCUUCACAGGAAGAGGCUCUGUGAAGGCACUCAUCCCCGCCCCCCACCCCCCAAACCCAGGCCUCUCUGGUUUCUGGGACACACGGGGGCAGAGUCCUGUCCUCUCAGCCUCACGCUGGAGAAGGCGCCCCAGGGAGAGCCGCAGUGCCCUGGCUUCAGUGGGGGCCCACCGGUGGCCUGCCCUUCGGAGCGUGCCACCAGGACCAGCUCCCCAACCCACCCUCCUGCGAGAGCCCAGCCCGGGAAGUCAGGCCCAAACCCUGGCCUUUGGGGGAUCUAUUUUGGGGAGGAGCAGAGUUGGGAGGGGAGUUUGAGAUCAGGCUGUAGACUGUGAAUAUCCCUUUAACAGAUCGCCCACACGCAGGCUGCCUCAUUGCUUGAUACAAUGCCUUACCUUUCAAUGCCCUUUCUGAAACUAGGCUCAAGGGUGAUAUUCCACAAACAAGCAUGCAAAGUGCAUGUUCUGGGAAAUGUGUCCUUGUUGAGAACAGCAAGUAAAAUACACGAAGGGAGUUAGUUCCAAGGACCUCGAUGGCCUGCCGGGGCUCGGAGCCCUGUUUCUGUGGUCCUUUUUGUUGCAGGAUGGAACCUGCCACCUUGACCGGGAAUCGAACCCAUGACCCUUCGGUGUGGGGGCCGACGCUCUAACCACUGAGAAUACUGGCCAGGGCCUGUGUGGACUCAACCCUGAUGGUGGAUCCACCCGGGGUGGAUCCUCUCAGCGGUGCGCCAACCUGCAUUCCCACUGCCAUGUUCCCAUUGCCCUCGGAGGCAUGGAACAGAGUCUCCCCGGGAGCCAGCCACUGCACUGACACCUUGCUUUCAGACUCCUGGCCUGCAGAAGCGUGAAAACAUACAUUUCUGAUGUUCCGAGGCACCCAUUUUGUGAUCAUUUGCUCCAGCAGCCCCGGCGAACCACAAACCCCAUUUCUGGUGCUGGGAACCCCAAGGCCCUCGAUGCCCGGAUGCCAGGCCACCCAUGUGCUCCUCUGCCCACGGGCCCUGAGGCUCUCCGUGGCCUUGGAAAAGGAGGGACAGGGCAGAAUGCUGUCCGCAGCCCACACUCCGUGCUCUCUGGGCAGCCUCCCACCCAGAGGUCAGCGGCUGAGGUACAUGAGUCACCGGGAGCUGAGGGUGGGGUGAGUGCCAGUGGUCUAUCGCCACCAAGUCACCAGGGCUGGGCCUUGCAGACUCACCCCUCCCUGCUCUGCCCCGCCUGUUGAUUCGAGCAGG